GGCUCUGUGGCAUAAUGGCUAACACACUGAACUUCUAGUUUUGAAUGGCUUCUCCUCACACUUGUGGGUUCAAAUCCUACCAGAGUCC
rnacentral:tRNA from 1 species